rnacentral:rRNA from 1 species
GCGGCGGACGGGUGAGUAACGCGUGGGUAGCCUGCCCUGUACGCACGGGAUAACUUACCGAAAGGUAUACUAAUACGGGAGAACAUACGAAAGUCAUAUGGCUUUUGUGUCAGAGCUCCUUCGGUACUGGAUUGACCCGCGUCUGAUUAACUAUGUGGUAACGGGAUGGCUUACCAAGGCAACGAUCAGUAGCCGACCUGAGAGGGUGAUCGGCCACACUGGAACUGAGACACGGUCCAGACUCCUACGGGAGGCAGCAGUGGGGAAUAUUGCACAAUGGGCGAAAUCCUGAUGCUGCAACGCCGCGUGAGCGAUGAAGGCCUUCGGGUCGAAAAGCUCUGUCCUCAAGGAAGAUAAUGACGGUACUUGAGGAGGAAGCCCCGGCUAACUACGUGCCGGCAGCCGGGGUAGUGCGGGGGGGGCUAGGGGUGUCGGGAAUUACUGGGCGUAAGGGUGCGUAGGGGGUUUUUUAAGUCAGAAGUGGGAGGCUAGGGGUCAGCCGUAGU